rnacentral:antisense_RNA from 1 species
GUAGUUAGCAGAGCAUUUCCUAAGUUGACAGGCCGUCGAACUUGUUUUCUUACUGAAGCUACUAAUUUACGCUGCUUUUUCUUAUUAACUCCUAUGUUUGUAUCCGCCCAGAGCACCAUUGCUCUGGGCUUUUUUUA